ensembl:lncRNA
GGAAAGGCUAAUCCACAAAAACGGAGAAACGUCCAUAAUUCCAUUAUUCAUAAUCAUGUCAAGGUUUUAGGUUUUUCUGCAGUUCCAUCUCUAAAAAGUGUGAUGUCUUCCCGUCACUGAUUUCAGUUUGAAAACUUUGUAUUUAUUCACAGAUUUCUGUGAGAUCAUCCUAAAAUUUGUAACGAAAAAUGGGCUCAAAAGAGCCCUCUGCCUAACGGCAUGUAGCCUAUAGCAUAACGUGAUAUUUUCAGUAGUGUAUGCAAAAAGGUCGGAAUUGAUGGAGAGUAGGGUUGCCUAAAUGGUUUAGGUUACAUUUUAAAUGUGUCGUUUUUUUGUUUAUACAUAUGGAUGGAUGGAGGGGGCAAGCUGGCAAAGUUUGUCAUGUGCAGUUUCUGACAGGCUACUUCACAACAAAACAAUUGCAGGUUGGUCUUAGAGGGCAAACAGAAUAAUUUCACUCGAUUCAUGGGUUACCUGACUGGUUGGGAAGGGAAAGAGCUGCCGUGUUGUCCGCCGUGGUUCCCAGUCGCUAUAGUUAGCCUACUAUGCCUACUCCAAGUAGUCCUAUGUCAUGCCGCUGCUACACGCCUCACAACAAAUGAACUGCAAGCGUGUUCACGUGACACGGUGACAGUGAAAAAGCGACAGGGUUCGGGUGUCUUUGAAGAAGGGGCACAAAUCAAGCCAUUAUUUUCACACCUUUUUAAAUCGCGCAGCUUUAAAAAAAUAAUAAUAAUCACGUCUUUCAAAAGGGCACUUUUUUGGACUGAAGGCAAAAGGGCAAGUGCUUCAGCACCACCUCGUCUCUAUCUGUGCAUGCCAGUGGCAGUGUGUCCCUCAGUCUGUCCUCACUCUGGACACUUUUUUGUUUUUGCAAGUGUUUUUGUUUUUGCAGGUGUUUUUCUUUGGCAGGUGUUUUUGUUUUUGCAGCAAUUUUCUUUUUGCAGGUUUUUUUCUUUUGCAGGUGUUUUUGUUUUUGCAGCAUUUUUCUUUUUGCAGGUGUUUUUGUUUUUGCAAGUGUUUUUCUUUUUGCAGGUGUUUUUCUUUUGCAGGUGUUUUUGUUUUUUGCAGGGGUUUUUCUUUUGCAGGGGUUUUUGUUUUUGCAGGUGUUUUUCUUUUGCAGAUGUUUUUGUUUUUGCAGCAUUUUUCUUUUUGCAGGUGUUUUUCUUUUGCAGGUGUUUUUGUUUUUGCAGGGGUUUUUGUUUUUGCAGGUGUUUUUCUUUUGCAGGUGUUUUUGUUUUUGCAGCAUUUUUGUUUUUGCAGGUGUUUUUCUUUUGCAGGUGUUUUUGUUUUUGCAGCAUUUUUCUUUUGCAGGGGUUUUUCUUUUUGCAAGUGUUUUUCUUUUGCAGGUGUUUUUCUUUUUGCAGGUGUUUUUCUUUUGCAGGUGUUGUUCUUUUUGCAGGUGUUUUUCUUUUGCAGGUGUUUUUGUUUUUGCAGCAUUUUUCUUUUUGCAAGUGUUUUCUGAAGUUGCAGUCCGUUUGGCCUCUCAGUGCCACCGUAACAGGUGGAAUCAGGACCACAUUAAGACCUAAUCACCUUCUCUCUCUGUCACACACACACACACACACACACACACACACACACACACACACACAUUUGCUGUAACACAAAAAGAGAGAGAGUAUUUAAAUGUAAAGUCUGAACAUUAGUCACUCUGUCUUCGGUGUGUGUUAGGAGGGUAAAAGUCCAGCUGGCUUAUUUUCCUACCUGGACUCCAUGGUAACGUUGUCAUAAAAGCACGUCAAUAAUUAAUAUGGACUUUUGCGUGUGCGUGCUUUCAAAGUUUUCCUCACACACACACUCUCUCUCUCUCUGUUAUUACAGUCUGUGUGUGUGUGUGUGUGUGUGUGUGUGUGUGUGUGUGUGUGUGUGUGUGUGUGUGUGUGUGUCUGUUCCUGUCUAGCUGUCUUGUGAGAGCCAACAGUCACACACACCGGUCCUCACAAAUUUGAAGGCCUGUUUGAGGCUCAAAAUGUGGUUUUAGUGUCAGGAUUACAAUUAGGUUAUGGUUAGCUUUAUGGUAGUUUAAUAGUUUAAUUAUUUAUAUAGCACAAUAAUUACAACAGGAGCGUUGACCAAAGUGCUGUACAAGA